rnacentral:lncRNA from 1 species
UCACUGUAUUUGAUUUUCUUGUGUAAAAGUUUAUCUCUUCUUUGCUGCAAAGCAGAAACAAUUAUGUCAGGGUGGGAAUCUUACUACAAAACCGAGGGUGAUGAAGAGGAGGAAGAACAAGAGGAAAGCCCGGAAGCAGGUGGAGAACAUAAAUAUUCAGGAAGAGAUAGUUUGAUUUUUUUGGUUGAUGCCUCCAGGGCCAUGUUUGAAUCUCAGGGUGAAGAUGAAUUGACUCCUUUUGAUAUGGUUUUC